ensembl:lncRNA
AUCACAUCCCUUGUUGACUAGGCUACACCGCCUGUUUCGCCUGUUUCGCCCAGUCCUGGGCUCCACUCAGAUGCAGGCUGUGUACACACUUCCUAUUUCAAAUUCAGCCUCUUCCACUGCGAGUGAGAGUCUAGUUCCUUCUCCACCCUGGAAGAUGGAGCCCAGUGAGCCCUGGACCUGUCUGGAGGGUGCACAUUGGGGCUGCCCUCUCACACUCUUCCUCAAGAAAAUCCGUCGCAUGUCACACAUCCUGUUUCUAACAAGAUGUCUCUUCAGUGCAAGAUCCGUCUGCCCUGUGAUGGCCUCUGCUCUGCAAAAUGGCCUGGGAUGUUUACAGCAGAGAUGCUGCAGAGGAAUGGGUAGGGUUGGCCAACAGUCUUAAUAAAAUUUCCUUCUCCCAGUUAUUUCCCCACGGUGUUGAAACCAGAACCUGGUUUGAUCUUGUUUUCUCCUGCUAUUGAUUUUGGGGCUGAGCCGUGUCUUGCUCAGAGAGAAUCCCUACUCCCUGGAGUCCUGGUCCACGGUCGGUCUGAUUGCUUCCUCACUGGCUGAACUGUACCAUUCCAGCAAAUCUCACCAGGCCAAUAGAACUGCAGUUAUCGAACUUUCUCUUCAUUCUCCUCGGAUGUCUUGGAGUUGUUGGUGAUGAAAGAACGGGCUUUUCAAAUCUAAGCUGCAGGUCCCCAGCACAGAAGGAGCAGAGUGGAAUUACAACCCUCAGGCAGUUUGCAUCUGCGUUCUCCAGCAGUAAGCACAUGCCGUUAUGAAUAAUAAAAUCCCAUCCUUGUAACUUUCUCGCUCUCGGGAAUGCAGAACAGCUUGCCAACAUAUCAUAUCAGUCUUUACAAUAUUUAUGUAAGGCAGGCAUGAGGCUCUGAUGCCUCUCCCUGUGGACGCGUCCAGCCCUGUCCGGAGGGAGGAAGUAUGGGUUGCUAAGAGCCUUCCCAUCACAGCAGCACUUGGGCUAAACCAUGCCCAGUUCAUUCUUAAUGCUGCCUUUAUCAAAAAUACACUACGUGGGUGGGGAUAAUUGGGUAAUAUUAAAAUGCCUGGCUUCACCAAUUGAGAAAGAGGAAAUAAAAUGUUUCCCAGGGCUGCAUCUCAGAGGGAUUGAACAUGUCGGAGACACUAAGAGCAUCUCCGCCAUCUGCUCCUGUAUUUGGGUCUCCUUUGCACGCAGGCUACCCCAGCAUCCAUGUCUGCCAGGUGCUGGGCAGCAUCCAGCUGGUGACUUUCAAUCCAUCGCUGGCCUCUGACAACAGGGGACACUGCUGCCUGACCACCUGAAUGUCAUCAACAAGGAAAUGCCCAUUUGCCAUCCAGUUCAAGCCAGAGUCUGGCGAUUCUGAAAAAUGUGAUUUCCUCUUUUAUGCCUCACUUCCUCCUCUCCUGUGCUUUCCACGGUGCGCUUUCUUCCAGCGUUUUCUUGUCUUAAUGAACUCAGUUUGGCUGGAUGUGCUCUUUUCCAUGCUUCCUCUUCUCCACGGUCUCCUUUCUGUGUCUCUAGUCGUCUUUUUGCCAUUCUUGUCCAAGGAUGAGAGCGAAGAACCGAAUCCUUUAAGAAGGCGGCCCAAUUUACAUUCAGGUUUCCCACGGUACGGCGGCAGCGAACCUUUCCAACCUCUCCUUAUUUGCUGAUCUGUUCAGAAGCGCUGAUGAGCAAGCAAGUGACAGGUACAGAGAAAACGACUCUGCCUCCGAACAUCUGAGAGUCAGAACAAUUUCUCUUUAUGACAAUGGCUUAGGUCAAGUCGAGUGUGAAUAGUAUUUGAUUGUAAUCAUGUUACUUGUUUGACAUAAAAAAUGGUUAAAGCUUGGAUGGAACCCUCAAAGGAUCACUUAGCCGGUCUGGGCAUGGUGGGGUUUUUUUGUUUUAUACAAUUGACCCUUGAACAACACGGGCUGGAAAUGCAAGGAUCCACUUAUGAUGGAUUUUUUUCCAACAGUAAAUGCUACAGCCCUGCCUGGUCCUUGGUUGGUUGAAUCCUCAGAUGAAAGAAGAACCGGGAUGGGGAGGGUCAAAUGUAAAUAAACAUGGAUUUCCCUCCA